rnacentral:ncRNA from 1 species
UACCCCUUGGUAAAGAUGGUGCCGUUAGGGAUGGGGUUAGUACUCCCGAAAGGGCGAAGGAAAGCUCCAUAGGCAGCAAGGAG